rnacentral:tRNA from 1 species
CCCCGGGUGGUGUAGUGGAUGGGAUUUGGCGCUCUCACCACCAUGGCCCGGAUUUGAUUCCCGGUCAGGGAA